UACGUAGGGUGCGAGCGUUGUCCGGAAUUACUGGGCGUAAAGAGCUCGUAGGUGGUUUGUCGCGUUGUUCGUGAAAACUCACAACUCAAUUGUGGGCGUGCGGGCGAUACGGGCAGACUGGAGUACUGCAGGGGAGACUGGAAUUCCUGGUGUAGCGGUGGAAUGCGCAGAUAUCAGGAGGAACACCGGUGGCGAAGGCGGGUCUCUGGGCAGUAACUGACGCUGAGGCGCGAAAGCGUGGGGAGCGAUCCGG
rnacentral:rRNA from 1 species